rnacentral:rRNA from 1 species
UAGGGAAUAUUGGACAAUGGGGGCAACCCUGAUCCAGCCAUGCCGCGUGAGUGAAGAAGGCCCUCGGGUUGUAAAGCUCUUUUGUCCAGAAAGAAAAGCAUUCGGUGAAUACCCGGAUGUUCUGACGGUACCGGAAGAAUAAGCACCGGCUAACUUCGUGCCAGCAGCCGCGGUAAUACGAAGGGUGCAAGCGUUACUCGGAAUUACUGGGCGUAAAGCGUGCGUAGGUGGUUGUUUAAGUCUGAUGUGAAAGCCCUGGGCUCAACCUGGGAAUGGCAGUGGAAACUGGGCAGCGAGAGUGCGGUGGAGGGGAGUGGAAUUCCCGGUGUAGCAGUGAAAUGCGUAGAGAUCGGGAGGAACAUCUGUGGCGAAGGCGACUGCCUGGACCAGCACUGACACUGAGGCACGAAAGCGUGGGGAGCAAACA